rnacentral:lncRNA from 1 species
UGUUUCUCUUUAUGUGUACCCAAUUUUUAAUUUGAAAUGCUGUUUUCAAUUUUUGCAGUCCGGUUACAUGAAUGGUAAGAACCUCGAAGUUCAUGUGGUUCUUCUUGUGCAUUUUUUUGCACGGGUUCAUUUAUGCAAUGUAGUUGUUUGAACAAGCUUUUCAAACGGUUCCUGAAGCAUUUGGUUGUUGAUGACUGUUUAUUGAUUUACAAACCAUCUCUUGCGA